CCCUUAGAUGUUCUGGGCCGCACGCGCGCUACACUGAUGCAUUCAACGAGUCUAAAACCUGCUCUGAUAGGGGUGGGUAAUCUUUUGAAUGUGCAUCGUGAUUGGGAUAGGUGAUUGCAAUUUUUCAUCUUCAACGAGGAAUGCCUAGUAAACGCAAGUCAUCAGCUUGCAUUGAUUACGUCCCUGCCCUUUGUACACACCGCCCGUCGCUCCUACCGAUUGAAUGAUCCGAUGAAUAUCAUGGAUUGAGGAUUAUAGCAGGUUCGCCUGUCUUGAUCUUCGAGAAGUGAAGUAAAUCUUAUCAUUUAGAGGAAGGAGAAGUCGUAACA
rnacentral:rRNA from 1 species